AUACGGAGGGCGCAAGCGUUGUUCGGAAUUACUGGGCGUAAAGCGCGGGCAGGUGGUCUGUUAAGUCGUUUGUGAAAAUCCGGGGCUCAACCCCGCGAAAUGCAGACGAUACUGGCAGGCUGGAGAUCGGUAGAGGCUAGCGGAAUUCCUGGUGUAGCGGUGGAAUGCGUAGAUAUCAGGAAGAACACCUGUGGCGAAGGCGGCUAGCUGGGCCGAGUCUGACACUCAUCCGCGAAAGCGUGGGGAGCAAACAGGAUUAGAAACCCCAGUAGUCC
rnacentral:rRNA from 1 species